GAUCAGUAGCGGGUCUGAGAGGAUGAUCCGCCACACUGGGACUGAGACACGGCCCAGACUCCUACGGGAGGCAGCAGUGGGGAAUUUUGGACAAUGGGGGCAACCCUGAUCCAGCCAUUCCGCGUGAGUGAAGAAGGCCUUCGGGUUGUAAAGCUCUUUCAGCUGGAACGAAACGGUACGCUCUAACAUAGCGUGCUAAUGACGGUACCGGCAGAAGAAGCACCGGCUAACUACGUGCCAGCAGCCGCGGUAAUACGUAGGGUGCGAGCGUUAAUCGGAAUUACUGGGCGUAAAGCGUGCGCAGGCGGAUUNUUAAGCAAGACGUGAAAKCCCCGGGCUUAACCUGGGAAUGGCGUUUUGAACUGGUAGUCUAGAGUGUGUCAGAGGGGGGUGGAAUUCCACGUGUAGCAGUGAAAUGCGUAGANAUGUGGAGGAACACCAAUGGCGAAGGCAGCCCCCUGGGAUAACACUGACGCUCAUGUACGAAAGCGUGGGUAGCAAACAGGAUUAGAUACCCUGGUAGUCCACGCCCUAAACGAUGUCAACUGGUUGUUGGGGGAG
rnacentral:rRNA from 1 species